AACAUUUAAUAUUGAAAUUGAUACGAACGUGGCUGUCAGUCUAGUUUAUACAUUUCUUACAUUUUGAAAUCUUUAAAAAAGUGUGUAAAAUGUUCCCAACUUUAAAAUUGUUUGUUAUUUAUCUCAUAAUUCCAUCAUUAAUUGGCGAGGAAACAACAAAAACGCCUACCAGCGGGGAACUGGUGGAAAAAGAAUUUGUACCUAUUACAGGCACCUUUAAAAAGAUCGUGAAAUCAUUAACUGACGAUGAACUGAAAUAUGAGUUGGGACAAGUUCAGGGCAUGAUACGAAAAAUAAUAGAACGAGCAGUUAAAGGGGAUGGAUUGUUGAAAGAACAGGGUGCAGAGGAAAAUCAAAAUAAAGUUUUUAGGAAAAUGUUUCGCCUGCUGGGUGUUCGCUCAAGAGCGGAAACAUUGGUCGAUGACUUAUAUCCUACUAAAAGACCAAUUAAUAUUGGUGUAGCCAAAGCGUAUGACGAAAUACUGAACUCCGACAAGCCAGAAUUUAAAGACCGCGCCUGCAUUAAAGUAUUUCGCCAGAGGGUUUCAUCUUAUGGUGUUUCCAACGCAGACUUUGUAGAAGGGAUUCGAUCGAUUUAUGCUAGUUUUAGUGAUAAAGCGGCACACAAAAUGUCGGCUUUCGACCCAUCACCUCCGGUAUAUAACGAUAAGGAAGGUAUUGAGCAAAUGUUUAGGGAUUUUGGUUUCUCUGCCGAUGACCUCAAAGUUAAAACUGCUCAAAUUAUUUUACAACCUAUGCCUUAUCCUUAUGUAUAUGAGAAAUAAAAAAUAUACUUAAUAAAUAGGUACUUACGGUUAAGAAA